CCGUCCUUAGCUCAGUUGGUAGUAGCGCAAGACUGUAAUAGGAUAUCUUGAGGUCACCUGUUCGACCCAGGUAGGACGGA